AUUGAACGCUGGCGGCAGGCCUAACACAUGCAAGUCGAACGGUAACAGGAAGCAGCUUGCUGCUUCGCUGACGAGUGGCGGACGGGUGAGUAAUGUCUGGGAAACUGCCUGAUGGAGGGGGAUAACUACUGGAAACGGUAGCUAAUACCGCAUAAUGUCGCAAGACCAAAGAGGGGGACCUUCGGGCCUCUUGCCAUCGGAUGUGCCCAGAUGGGAUUAGCUAGUAGGUGGGGUAACGGCUCACCUAGGCGACGAUCCCUAGCUGGUCUGAGAGGAUGACCAGCCACACUGGAACUGAGACACGGUCCAGACUCCUACGGGAGGCAGCAGUGGGGAAUAUUGCACAAUGGGCGCAAGCCUGAUGCAGCCAUGCCGCGUGUAUGAAGAAGGCCUUCGGGUUGUAAAGUACUUUCAGCGGGGAGGAAGGCGAUAAGGUUAAUAACCUUGUCGAUUGACGUUAUCCGCAGAAGAAGCACCGGCUAACUCCGUGCCAGCAGCCGCGGUAA
rnacentral:rRNA from 1 species